CUGAUUGAUAAAAUCUGAUGACAUUCUCUGAUGAUAUACUCUGUUUGCUUUACUCUGAUAACAUUCUCUGACAAUAUUCUCUGAUGCUUAUAAAACUCUGAAUCUUGAUAAAUGAUCUCAUUUUUUUUAUCUUCUCUGAGACAAAACACCUAUGAAGAUACCAUGAAGCAUGUUCUGAAUGAGUAAUCAUGAAUCUCAGCUAAGUUCCUCAAUCCUGAUCUCAAUUUUGUGCUACAUUAGUUCACUAUGCAUGUUGAUAUCAUUGAGACUCUACUACUUCACAUAUCUUAAUUAUAAGUGAGACUGAUUAAUUUAAAUUUUCUCUCAUAUACUAGACAGUGAUU
rnacentral:lncRNA from 1 species